rnacentral:tRNA from 1 species
GGUCCUAUAGCUCAGUUGGUUAGAGCACCUGACUCAUAAUCAGGUGGUCGCUGGUUCAAGUCCAGCUGGGACCA